GACGUAGGGCGCGAGCGUUGUCCGGAUUUAUUGGGCGUAAAGAGCUCGUAGGCGGCUUGUCGCGUCGUCCGUGAAAACCUGCGGCUCAACUGCAGGCUGGCGGUCGAUACGGGCAGGCUGGAGUUCGGUAGGGGUCUGUGGAACUUCUGGUGGAGCGGUGAAAUGCGUUGAUAUCAGAAGGAACGCCGGUGGCGAAAGCGACGGACUGGAUCUCUUCUGACGCUGAGGCGCGAAAGCCAGGGGAGCAAACGGG
rnacentral:rRNA from 1 species